rnacentral:rRNA from 1 species
GACGUAGGGUGCAAGCGUUGUCCGGAUUUACUGGGCGUAAAGAGCGCGUAGGCGGCUCGUUAAGUGAGAAGUGAAAGCUCUUGGCUCAACCAAGAAACCGCUUUUCAUACUGGCGAGCUAGAGUGAUGCAGAGGUGGAUAGAAUUCCCGGUGUAGCGGUGAAAUGCGUUGAUAUCAUCUGGAAUACCGGAGGCGAAGGCGGCUCACUGGGGGUUUUCUGACGCUGAGGAACGAAAGCCAGGGGAGCGAACGGG